rnacentral:lncRNA from 1 species
GGCGUGAACUUCAGGAAAAUUAAGUAAAAAUAUUAGUACCUGUAGUUCUUAUACAGAGUCAAUAGCUUGAAAAGCUGGAAAGAAAAUAAAUUGAUUCUGCUAGGCAAAAAAAUGAAAUUGGUCCAUUUGUCAGCAUAUCAAAAUUUUGAUUCAUGUAUACAUGAUUCACCGCUGGAAAUAGUACAAAGUUGAGUCAUCUAUUUUGGAACGGAGGGAGUAUGAAUUAUGAUUCCCAAAGAUGGUGACAUUGAGGGUCAACAAUUUAUGCAUACAGGGCCAACAAUUAGAAAUGUCCUAGUAAAUAUUCUAAUUCAUAGACUGUUGCCCUAGGUUGCGUCCUUUAUGUGAUCUUUGUGCCUAAUGUCUGAACUACAAAAGUUGAUCUCAUUUUUGACUUUGCAAUUCUCAUCUCGGGACAAGUGAAAAAAUAUCUCAUCUGAGGAUUCAGUAAUGGAGGGGAGCAGCACUAUUUCGCCAUCAGGAGAGCCCAUAGUUGCAAUGGCCACAACAUAUGCACCAGCACUAUCAGGUGAGAAAUCCGUCUAAGAAAGUAAAUAAUCUGUUGAGGUACCUAACAUUUUGUUAAUCCCUUGUGUGAUGUUGUUUCCUAUAAAAUUGUUUGCAGCCAUGGAAUCGGUCAAUAGUGCUCAAAAUCAAGAUUUCAGCAAUGGUACCUUGUUUGCAGAGAUUAAUUCCCCAAUGCUUGUCAUUACUGAUUCCAGUACACUGGAAAAGAAACAAUCGUUCUUUCAAGAGGUACACACACUUCUGGAUUUUAUGUACGUAAAAAUUUCACUUCUGUCCAUGUUCCAUGAUUUCGUUAAUAUUUCAUAGGAAAAUAUACGGCCUUAUCAUCUAUCAUGUCCAUGCCAAAUCAUAGGUGCGGAACAAGUAGGCGCUAAUGUGAACAACCGAUAGAUUUCAUGGUUCAAACUACAAGGUCCUAUAAAUGUUCACAACCUGUGUUUAGUACUAUUGGUCAUGUUGUGUUAUACUAGUUACUGCAAAGCAUAAUGUAAUGCAUGCCAUCAUUCUUUGUUUUGUACUGUUGAAUUAGAAUAAUAAUCUGCCUUUUUGUUCAUUGCCAUUUCUUCGCAUUGCUAUUUCUGCUUUUACGUGGUUCUCUUGUAAUUUGCUUGAGCCUAUGUUAAAACUUCAUCAAGUGUGAACAUAUGACACUUGCAUGGACCUGUGCUAACUUAACUUUAUUUGUUAGGUUUGAUCUCUCCCAGCACAAGAAGCAUGAUGAGCAAGAAGCACUAGAACUGGAGGCAAAAGGAUGCAACUUUUCUGUUCUGUAACACCAUUCUAGGAAAGUUGAUGCAGUUUCUAAUGGCACUGCUUGUUGAGUUGUGAUUUAUUUUCGUCGUUCAUAGUCAGUCUUGCCCAUGAUGUACCACAAAUGAUCCUCUAAUCCAAUGUAACACUUGAUAUGUAUUCAUGUCUCUUCUGUUGGCUCAUGAUUGUGAUUGUGCAGUUUGGAAUCUAUGUUUGCUUGAAGGUGAAUUAAUUCUCAUGUACUGAAAGAUGUUUCUGAU